AUGCUUGCAGAGUACUCGCUGUCAUCUAAAGGUGCGACCAAAGUAUAUAUCGAUUUGGAUACCCCUGAAAUAGCUGAGCUCCAAACGAGGUAUUGCCUGGAAGAUGAUAUCAUAGAGGAAACAGAGCCGGAAGCCCACUUGCAAGGAACAAUUCAAGAACAAAUGCUCUAUAACAGAAAGACACUAAGAGAAAUAACUGAAAUUGCAUAUGAAUCUGAAAAACAGGAAAAGUUCUAUACUGCAGAAGCAACCAUUAAGUCAACUGAUACAUCAGAUGAGUGGUACUACAUAGGAUGCAGCAAAUGUAACAAAAAACUACAAAAAGAAGGGAAUCACUUCUACUGUCCAAAAUGUGAGGAAGAACCUGAGAAGACAUGUCCAAGGUACAAACUUAAGCUAGAGAUAUGUGAUCAUACUGCAACAACAACUUGCACCAUGUUUGAGACAGAAGAAAAAAAACUUAUUAAGCAAUCUGCAAGAUUCUUGAUAGAUAGGGAUGACUGUGAUAUCCAUGAGCAGGCAGAAAAAUUUCAGAAAAUAUGUGGGCAGAGAUUAAUUUUUCAGUUCAGACUGAAUGACUAUAAUUUCAAGUACGGUUACCAAGAUUACACUGUUCAUAGAAUAUUUUUAUAG
rnacentral:rRNA from 1 species